CCUUUCGAGAGGGUGCUAACUCCCGCCUUUUUUGUCGGUAUUGUUCUGGGUGGUGUUUUCGGUGCGUACUUAUCUCAAAACUAUAAAGUCCCAGAUUUGAGAGAAUGUGUGGAAGCCUGGCAAAGAAAAUUAGAUAUAGAAGCUAGCAAAAAUAAGUAAAUAAAUUUAA